AAUCAACGCUGGCGGCGUGCCUCAGACAUGCAAGUCGAACGCGAAAGUUCCCUUCGGGGGGCGAGUAGAGUGGCGCACGGGUGAGUAACACGUAGGUAAUUUACCUUUGGAUGGGGAAUAACAACCGGAAACGGUUGCUAAUACCGCAUAAUGCAGCGGCACCUAAUGGUGACAGUUGUUAAAGCGGGGGAUUGAAAGACCUCGCGUUUGAAGAGGAGCCUGCGGCGGAUUAGCUAGUUGGUAAGGUAACGGCUUACCAAGGCGACGAUCCGUAGCCGGCCUGAGAGGGCGGUUGGCCACACUGACACUGACAUACGGGUCAGACUCCUACGGGAGGCAGCAGUUGGGAAUUUUGGGCAAUGGGCGAAAGCCUGACCCAGCAACGCCGCGUGAAGGAUGAAAUCCCUCGGGAUGUAAACUUCGCAAGAACGGGAAGAAUAAGUAGGGGACAACACCCCCUAUGAUGACGGUACCGUUUGUAAGCUCCGGCUAACUCCGUG
rnacentral:rRNA from 1 species